CAAAACAUAGCUUGCUAAUUAAUUAAUAAAACCCUUGGAAAAUAUGAUCUUAACAGAAGUUUAAUUUUCCUUUUUCUCUCCUAGAUUUUUCAAGUCUACUCGGCCUCCGUCCGAAUUGUGGUACAAAUCCUAAAGGAAGCCUGGAAGCCUUCAAGAAAAAUGAUAAAUCUAAAUCUAACUGAUAUAUGUACAAUUUUGAUGAGCAAAGAGACAGAUGUUGUUUUCAGUAUAGAAUUUGGAAAAAAGUAGUUGAGUACUCACAGCAAAGCCAAUCAUGGCAACACGACCAACAAAGAGCUCAUUUUGCUUUGUAAAACCAAAUCCUCCAGAGGUCCCAAAGAUACCAUCCUCAACUUUUGGCUUUGAUUCAACCUGUAAGUUUAAAUUAAAAUAUACCCAUAAACAACUAGCUAAGGGCCAAUAUUAAAUCAAAACAAUCUUACCAACAAUAAAAACGGAAACAAGAAAACCAAAUUAAACCUUCUUGGUCUUGGGUGGAGCUUUGGUUUUAGAUUUGAAGAGGGCAACAGUAGAAAAAGCUUUAGAUGAUGAAGAAGCCGCAGCAGCAGUUAAAGAUUCAUUAGAGAGUGGGUUGAACAUAAGAUGAGAGAAUGGCUUAGGUCUCAGCAUCUGCGUUUGAAAUGUGACUAAAGAGUCUCUUUUCAAGUUUCCUGCGUGGCUAGUGGAAACCCCAGACAUGAGCAGCAUA
rnacentral:lncRNA from 1 species